rnacentral:rRNA from 1 species
GAUGAACGCUGGCGGCGUGCCUAAUACAUGCAAGUCGAGCGAACGGACGAGAAGCUUGCUUCUCUGAUGUUAGCGGCGGACGGGUGAGUAACACGUGGAUAACCUACCUAUAAGACUGGGAUAACUUCGGGAAACCGGAGCUAAUACCGGAUGAUAUUUUGAACCGCAUGGUUCAAAAGUGAAAGACGGUCUUGCUGUCACUUAUAGAUGGAUCCGCGCUGCAUUAGCUAGUUGGUAAGGUAACGGCUUACCAAGGCAACGAUGCAUAGCCGACCUGAGAGGGUGAUCGGCCACACUGGAACUGAGACACGGUCCAGACUCCUACGGGAGGCAGCAGUAGGGAAUCUUCCGCAAUGGGCGAAAGCCUGACGGAGCAACGCCGCGUGAGUGAUGAAGGUCUUCGGAUCGUAAAACUCUGUUAUUAGGGAAGAACAUAUGUGUAAGUAACUGUGCACAUCUUGACGGUACCUAAUCAGAAAGGCACGGAUAACUACGUG